AGUGAACGCUGGCGGUAGGCCUAACACAUGCAAGUCGAACGGCAGCACAGUAAGAGCUUGCUCUUACGGGUGGCGAGUGGCGGACGGGUGAGGAAUACAUCGGAAUCUACUUUUUCGUGGGGGAUAACGUAGGGAAACUUACGCUAAUACCGCAUACGACCUACGGGUGAAAGCAGGGGAUCUUCGGACCUUGCGCGAUUGAAUGAGCCGAUGUCGGAUUAGCUAGUUGGCGGGGUAAAGGCCCACCAAGGCGACGAUCCGUAGCUGGUCUGAGAGGAUGAUCAGCCACACUGAAACUGAGACACGGUCCAGACUCCUACGGGAGGCAGCGGUGGGGAAUAUUGGACAAUGGGCGCAAGCCUGAUCCAGCCAUACCGCGUGGGUGAAGAAGGCCUUCGGGUUGUAAAGCCCUUUUGUUGGGAAAGAAAAGCAGCAGGUUAAUACCCCGCUGUUCUGACGGUACCCAAAGAAUAAGCACCGGCAAACUUCGU
rnacentral:rRNA from 1 species